CAUGCAGUCGAGCGGUAAGGCCCUUCGGGGUACACGAGCGGCGAACGGGUGAGUAACACGUGAGCAACCUGCCCCUGACUCUGGGAUAAGCGGUGGAAACGCCGUCUAAUACCGGAUACGACCCGCCCCUGCCUGGGGUGCGGGUGGAAAGUUUUUUCGGUUGGGGAUGGGCUCGCGGCCUAUCAGCUUGUUGGUGGGGUAACGGCCUACCAAGGCGAUUACGGGUAGCCGGCCUGAGAGGGCGACCGGCCACACUGGGACUGAGACACGGCCCAGACUCCUGCGGGAGGCAGCAGUGGGGAAUCUUGCGCAAUGGGCGAAAGCCUGACGCAGCGACGCCGCGUGGGGGAUGACGGCCUUCGGGUUGUAAACCUCUUUUACCACUCACGCAGGCCCCGGGUUCUCUCGGGGUUGACGGUAGGUGGGGAAUAAGGACCGGCUAACUACGUGCCAGCAGCCGCGGUAAUACGUAGGGUCCGAGCGUUGUCCGGAAUUAUUGGGCGUAAAGAGCUCGUAGGCGGUGUGUCGCGUCUGCUGUGAAAGACCGGGGCUUAACUCCGGUUUUGCAGUGGAUACGGGCAUGCUAGAGGUAGGUAGGGGAGACUGGAAUUCCUGGUGUAGCGGUGAAAUGCGCAGAUAUCAGGAGGAACACCGGUGGCGAAGGCGGGUCUCUGGGCCUUACCUGACGCUGAGGAGCGAAAGCGUGGGGAGCGAACAGGAUUAGAUACCCUGGUAGUCCACGCCGUAAACGUUGGGCGCUAGGUGUGGGGGCUUUCCACGGUUCCCGUGCCGCAGCUAACGCAUUAAGCGCCCCGCCUGGGGAGUACGGCCGCAAGGCUAAAA
rnacentral:rRNA from 1 species